rnacentral:misc_RNA from 1 species
UUAAGUUCAGCGGGUCUUCCUACCUGAUCCGAGGUCAACCUUGGGUAAAUAAGGCUUUUAACGGCCGGAACCCGCAGCACGCCCAGAGCGAGAUGUAACUACUACGCUCGGGGUGACAGCGAGCCCGCCACUGGUUUUCAGGGCCUGCGGCGGCCGCAGGGCCCCAGCACGAGCGGGGCUCGACGGGUAGAAAUGACGCU